rnacentral:rRNA from 1 species
UAGGGAAUCUUCCGCAAUGGACGCAAGUCUGACGGAGCAACGCCGCGUGAGUGAAGAAGGAUUUCGGUUCGUAAAACUCUGUUGUUAGAGAAGAACAGCGCAUAGAGUAACUGUUAUGCGUGUGACGGUAUCUAACCAGAAAGCCACGGCUAACUACGUGCCAGCAGCCGCGGUAAUACGUAGGUGGCAAGCGUUGUCCGGAUUUAUUGGGCGUAAAGCGAGCGCAGGCGGUCAAUUAAGUCUGAUGUGAAAGCCCCCGGCUCAACCGGGGAGGGUCAUUGGAAACUGGUUGACUUGAGUGCAGAAGAGGAGAGUGGAAUUCCGGGUGUAGCGGUGAAAUGCGUAGAUAUAUGGAGGAACACCAGUGGCGAAGGCGACUCUCGGGUCUGUAACUGACGCUGAGGCUCGAAAGCGUGGGUAGCAAACAGG